AACGAACGCUGGCGGCAUGCCUAACACAUGCAAGUCGAACGAGACCUUCGGGUCUAGUGGCGCACGGGUGCGUAACGCGUGGGAACCUGCCCUUAGGUUCGGAAUAACUCCCCGAAAGGGGUGCUAAUACCGGAUAAUGUCUUCGGACCAAAGAUUUAUCGCCUUUGGAUGGGCCCGCGUUGGAUUAGCUAGUUGGUAGGGUAAAAGCCUACCAAGGCGACGAUCCAUAGCUGGUCUGAGAGGAUGAUCAGCCACACUGGGACUGAGACACGGCCCAGACUCCUACGGGAUGCAGCAGUGGGGAAUAUUGGACAAUGGGCGAAAGCCUGAUCCAGCAAGGCCGCGUGAGUGAUGAAGGCCUUAGGGUUGUAAAGCUCUUUUACCCGGGAUGAUAAUGACAGUACCGGGAGAAUAAGCUCCGGCUAACUCCGUG
rnacentral:rRNA from 1 species